GACGAACGCUGGCGGCGUGCCUAAUACAUGCAAGUAGAACGCAGUUGCGAACGGGUGCGUAACGCGUAGGUAACUGCCUGGUAGCGGGGGAUAACUAUUGGAAACGAUAGCUAAUACCGCAUACUACCAGAUGGACCUGCGUUGUAUUAGCUAGUUGGUGGGGUAACGGCUCACCAAGGCAACGAUACAUAGCCGACCUGAGAGGGUGAUCGGCCACACUGGGACUGAGACACGGCCCAGACUCCUACGGGAGGCAGCAGUAGGGAAUCUUCGGCAAUGGACGGAAGUCUGACGGAGCAACGCCGCGUGAGUGAUGAAGGUCUUCGGAUCGUAAAACUCUGUUAUUAGGGAAGCGGUACCUAAUCAGAAAGCAACGGCUAACUACGUGCCAGCAGCCGCGGUAAUAC
rnacentral:rRNA from 1 species